GACGAACGCUGGCGGCGUGCUUAACACAUGCAAGUCGAACGGAAAGGCCCUGCUUUUGUGGGGUGCUCGAGUGGCGAACGGGUGAGUAACACGUGAGUAACCUGCCCUUGACUUUGGGAUAACUUCGGGAAACUGGGGCUAAUACCGGAUAGGAGCUCCUGCUGCAUGGUGGGGGUUGGAAAGAUUCGGCGGUUGGGGAUGGACUCGCGGCUUAUCAGCUUGUUGGUGGGGUAGUGGCUUACCAAGGCUUUGACGGGUAGCCGGCCUGAGAGGGUGACCGGCCACAUUGGGACUGAGAUACGGCCCAGACUCCUACGGGAGGCAGCAGUGGGGAAUAUUGCACAAUGGGCGGAAGCCUGAUGCAGCAACGCCGCGUGCGGGAUGACGGCCUUCGGGUUGUAAACCGCUUUCGCCUGUGACGAAGCGUGAGUGACGGUAAUGGGUAAAGAAGCACCGGCUAACUACGUG
rnacentral:rRNA from 1 species